UUGAUACAACCUACAGGACAAACCUUUACAGCCUGCCAUUUGGUCUUUUCGUUGGUGUAAACAACCAUUUCCAGUCAAUAGUGUUCGGAGGGGUGCUUCUAACAUCUGAGAAAAUAAUUGAUUUCGAAUGGGCAUUCACAAAUUUUGUAGAAAUAAUGAAUGGUAAAGCUCCCCUGACAAUGCUAACAGACCAGUGUGCCGCCAUGGCAAAGGCGAUAAAAUCAACACUACGGACUACAAGGCACAGAUGGUGCAGGUGGCACGUGCUGAAGGAUGCAAAAAAGAAGCUUGGGAACAUCUACUCAAAACGUAAGAAGUUCAAGCGUGAAUUCAAUAAACUAAUAACUGAUGAGAUUGACAUAAGAAGGUUCGAGAAUGAAUGGGUAAAACUACUAAAGGAAUACCGCCUUGUCAAGAACAAGUACUUGAAGAGGUUGUUCAAGCACCGGGACAAAUGGGCUAAACCAUAUUUCAUGGACAUAUUCUGUACCUUUUUGUGAGUAAAUUCAAUGAGCUGCAGAGCGACAGACACGACCAGGAAGGAAAAGAGCAGCAUUCUACUAAACAGGUUCUCAGAAAAAAGCUAAGAGUAGGGGUUCCAAUAGAGCGCCACGCAAGCACGGUGUACACAAGAGCAAUGUAUGAGAAAUUCUGUGAUGAGCUAUUUGAGUCAGGAUCAUUUGCCAUAUUUAAGAGGAUCAAUGAUAGUGAGUUCAUUUUAGUAGACACAAAGAACGAAGAGGAAAUAGAUGCUAAGCAUUUCAGGGUGAAGCUAGAAGGAGAUAAUAAGAUCAGUUGUGAAUGUGGUUUCUACGAACAUAUGGGCAUGCUUUGCCGCCAUACUCUCAAGGUCCUCGUCCAUCUGGACAAAAUGGAAAUCCCAGCUGGAAACAUAAUGAGAAGAUGGACAAAGGAAGGGCACAUACCAUGUAAAGAAACAUCGAUAUCUUCUGCCUUGGAGCAGCAAUCGCAUAAUAUGCAGAGAAAGAUGCUUCUGGCAAAAGCUUGUGAACUUACCAAGGUGGAUGACAAGGGACGACUCGUCUCUUUUGGUAAAACAAUUGAAGAAGUAAUUGGCAAUUCCAUGGUAAGUGAGACAUCAGGUCAACAAAUUGGUGAAGUUAAAGAUGCAACAACUUCUUGGCCAACCUCGAAGCCCACAUCCUGUCCUCCCCGAACAAUAUUCGGUGGAAGGCCACCAAACACAGGACUAAAAUCAUGGAUUGCAAGCACUAAGAAAUCUGCAGCGUGCCAAGCCGAUGAUCCAAGCACUAAAGCAUCAGAGUGGCCAGAGGAAGAGAACCCAGCCAAGAAGAAAACAAAGUGCAUUUUAGAACUUAUGCAGUUGAAGUAACCGUUCAAGUUGCCUUAAUUAUGUUACCGGUAUGCGUAUGUAAAACUGAUGCUCUUUUAUAUUUGGAACCAAUAAUACACGCAUUGUAAUCUUAUUAAAUUUGAACUCAAUAUGAGCAUUGUGUCCAGUAUACAAUCACUACUUUUAUUUA